AGAUCAUGACCUGAGCCAAAGUCGGACGCUUAACCGACUGAGCCACCCAGGCGCCCCAAUGAAGCCUACUUUAAAAGAAGUCAUUUUUCAUGCUUGUCUUUUUGUCCACAUGAAGGUUGGAAUGAAACCCGCCUCUGGUCCAGAGUCAGCAGCUUCUUCUAGCCUCUCCUCGCCUGUCUGUAACUCACUCUCCAGUACCCGAAAUUGUGGCAUUUGUCUCUUCGUUACCCAUUCACUAGAGCCAGAAUCUCUGUUUUCUUGUAUUUUGUUUCCUAAAUGAAGCAGUGUCUCCUAUGGGUGUAGCUUUCCACAGAUAUUGUUGAAUUGAAAUGAACUUCAAAGAGAAAGCUUUUGGAUUAUUUCUGUUAGCUAGAUACUUAGACAGGCCGUCGGGUCCAGGCCGCAUGCCCCAGGACAGCUUUGAUGUUUACCAUCAGGAGGCCUCAAAGCACGGCCUUGCUCUCAUGCACCUGUUCUCGCCCACGUCCCACCCCCAGAUCAAGGGCCUCCAGGAUGAGGCAGGGUUUCAUCCCGACCCUCCUGAGCUCAGGAAGGCUUCUGCAUGGGCCAACGAGCCUCAACCAACUGGAGUUACUGUUUACUCAUUAUGUCACUUUCUCAAACUUACUCUGCAUCAGGCAAGUGCUGAGGACAGUCAGGAAAUCCACCUGGGCUGAGUCCCACAGGAGAACGCAUGUGCACAGCACGCCUGGGUGGCUCAGGUAGUGAUCUCCCUGUCUUGGGACCAAGCCCUGCUUGGGCGCUGUGCUGGGCAUGGAGCCUGCUUGGGAUUCUCCCUCUCUCUCUCUUGCUCUCUCUCUCUGUCCCUCCCCCACUCUGUCAGAAUAAAUAACCUUUUAAGGUCUCCUAAAAAAGGAGAAUGCAUGUGCACACUGAUUGUCCCUCUGUGAGCUGGGAAUGAGGCGGCUCCAAUGAAGGAACAGUUGUCACUGUGUGGCAGGUGUCAGGGUGGCUGAUGGGAGCAGGCUCCUGCAUGGGGGUGGCUGGGCAUGCGUGUGGGGAGGAUCUCGGGGAAGGGGCUGGCUGUGGGUGAGGGAACUUGGGCUGCUGCUCCAGAUGAGGUGUGCUGAUGCCUUGCAUCUAGGCCUCCUGCCCCCGUUGGCCUGACAAAGGCAGCCCAUGUCCCCUCUGCUCUCAGCGGGCCCUUGGCAUCCGGCACAGGGCCCAGCCUGCUGAGUGACGUGCGAAUGAACAAGUGCCUGGGUGCGGUAGCGCAGGAGGCAAAGCCAGCCCGGAGGCCCCUCCUCUCAGUGGAUGGGAGGACCAGCAACGUCCAGGAUGCCGAGAGGCCACGGGGAGCUCCGGGAUGGCUGAGUUGAUGCAGCAGAGGCCCCUCUGUUCAGAACCUGCCUUCCGCUGUUGAGUUCAUGUCUGUCCUACAGUCUACGUUUUGCAUGUUUUCCAUGGGUACCUUUGGGGACACCAACGUUGUCACGGAGAUUCAGAAAGGUCGCCUGGAGGAGGAGACAUAGCUGGACCCUGAUGCUAAGGGCAGCUGGUCUGCGUGUGGCCAGCCAUGGGACACCGGUCACUAGGAGGGCCACAUGGCUCAUGGUUUCAUGCCCACCCUCACCCAGGCCAUCUUCUCUUUCCUUCUUGAACUCAGAUGAACAUGGUUGAGAACAUCGGAAGCUGGUGUAGGGCCUGGCCACCCCUGGUCACCUUCUGAGGGCUUCCUGUCUGGGAGCAUUGCCUUCACCCAGCAGCUAAAUACACGUAGCUACCUAUGUGAUGGCUUCUAUGACAUGCAUGCAGCGCGCACAUCCGGACACACCCACUGACCCCCUUCCUGCCCCUGGAGUACCUGGGGUCAGAACACGUGUCUCCCCAUCUCCAGAGCUCCUGAGGGAUGUCUGCUGAAAAGAGGUUUUGAUGAAGGAGGUCUUAGAAACACACGCUUUCGGGUCCAGUUAAUAUCAGUGCUGAGCCAGCCUGUCCUCACCACACGCACCGCACGUGGCACCCACCUCUCCUGUCGCUACACCUCAGCAGAUGCGCCCUCUGCUUCCUUCUCAGUGGACACUCAACUGGCCACUGCUGGUGUACAUUGAAGUCGGGUAAACUUUCUGUCUUCACGCAGGGCAGGAAUAGAGGCCUGUGCGCUGCUCUGCCAGUUCCAGAACUGCAGUUACGGGGUCAGAGGGCACGUACACCCGAAACUCUGCUAGGUUCUAAGUGUCUUUUGGUAGAAACUCAAAGCACUUUCAGCGAAAUGCUUCGGAGGAAGCCCAGAAGGCACGUGUGAGAGAGCCGGCGCGGGCCCUCUCCCUGGGGCGGGGGGGGACUUGAGCCCAGGAGGCGGCUCUGCCUCCCCGCGGCCCCUCUAGCGCCUGGAUGCACAGGAUUUGUUUCUUCACUUCCUUGCUGACGGCACUUGGGUUGUUUCUGCUUUUGAUUUUUAUGAACAAAGCUGCUGUGGACAUUGUCGUACAAGCCACUUCGCAGGCAUAGGCCUUCUUGGGUGAGCUCCGAAGGUGGACCGGCUGGACCACGUGGGAUGUGACAAAUAUACAAAAUGCCUACCCCUCGCCUGGUGCUAUGGAGAUGUUGGCAGAGGGACACCCCGACAGCCUACUCCUGCCCCAGAGCCCAGGACGUUUAAUCAACCAGAACAGCUCAUUCGUCUCAGAAGGCUGGCCACGAUGAGUUGAACGCAAUAUGAGCGCUGGGCAGCCGAGUCAACACAGUUACAGGAUUUCGUGAGACGGACACAUACUGACAAUCUACUACUGGCACUGAAUCACUCAGAGACCUUAACUGGAGGCCCCAGCAGCUGGGAAGGUGCUUUCUCCUGAUGGAACUUUGAGUUGAAAAACCCUCUCUUCGGCUGUGCCCUGUCUAUUGUUCAGAAAAUUCAAUGAGCUCUUCACUUCAGCACAUUCUGCCAUACUCACAGCUCGAAAAGUUCAUGCUAGACUGCGGACACAGAUCACAAGACAAGUCAGAGUUCCGCUGGGAUGAAGGGUGUCCCAGUGUCUCCUGCGGGCACUUCCAGCACCUUCUCAGGCACAGGUGUCCGACCUCCCGCGCUCCUGGUCACCCGGCCCCAGCCCCCUG